rnacentral:rRNA from 1 species
AAUCAACGCUGGCGGCGUGCCUAACACAUGCAAGUCGAACGCGAAAAUUCCUUCGGGAAUGAGUAGAGUGGCGUCCGGGUGAGUAACGCGUGGGUAAUCUACCUUCGGGUGGGGAAUAACCCAGGGAAACUUGGGCUAAUACCGCAUAAUGCAGCGGCUCGACAUCGAGAUAGUUGUUAAAGCAGCAAUGCGCCUGAAGAAGAGCCUGCGUCUGAUUAGCUUGNGGUAGGGUAACGGCCUACCAAGGCUGCGAUCAGUAGCUGGUCUGAGAGGACGGCCAGCCACAAUGGCACUGAAACACGGGCCAUACUCCUACGGGAGGCAGCAGUGGGGAAUUUUCCGCAAUGGGCGAAAGCCUGACGGAGUGACGCCGCGUGUGGGACGAAGGCCUUCGGGCCGUAAACCACUGUCAGUGGGAAGAUGGGUGUCGGCACGAUAACCGUCGGCACCUGACGGUACCUGCAGAGGAAGCCCGGCUAACUCUGUGCCAGCCGCCGC